CAGGACGAGAACGAAGUGCGCUCGUGACUCACCCAGCUUCUGUUCAUUGUCAAUGCACCCCCGGCCAUCAGCUGUCAAGUCUGAAACUGAUGUUCAUGAGGUGGCUCCUUGCCUUAGAGGUGCAGCUGAAGGAUGAAAGACUGGGAAGGGUUGGGAAGAUGGGAUGGGACCUGGAUGUAUAUUAGCAAUGGAGUCAACAAGACCGGUAGAUAAACCCAAAGCAAGGGAUGGACAAAAUGAGUGCUUUUGUUUUUAUGUAAAUUAUAUCCUGGAUUUUGAUUGUAUGUGAUUUUUAAA
rnacentral:lncRNA from 1 species